GAUCACAAAAAACCUUUAAAAACAAGAAUAAAAGCAAUCUUUUCAUCUGCAUAACGAUUGUCUUGUUUGUUUUUCAAAAAGCUUUUCAUAUCAAAAUCAUUAUGCAGGUUGUUUCUUAAACCCAUUGAACAUAGUGAUCGGACGUCAUCUCCCAAUUUUGAAUUCCCUGUAUUCGAAGCGGAAGAAGAUGAUGUUGAAGGGAUUCCUGACGAGAUUUCCCGACUUCUUGAGCAAGAAAAGAAGAUCACUCAGCUGCAUCUCGAGAAUCAGCAGAACAGCCAAC
rnacentral:lncRNA from 1 species